GACGAACGCUGGCGGCGUGCUUAACACAUGCAAGUCGAACGGAAAGGCCCUGCUUUUGUGGGGUGCUCGAGUGGCGAACGGGUGAGUAACACGUGAGUAACCUGCCCUUGACUUUGGGAUAACUUCAGGAAACUGGGGCUAAUACCGGAUAGGAGCUCCUGCUGCAUGGUGGGGGUUGGAAAGUUUCGGCGGUUGGGGAUGGACUCGCGGCUUAUCAGCUUGUUGGUGGGGUAGUGGCUUACCAAGGCUUUGACGGGUAGCCGGCCUGAGAGGGUGACCGGCCACAUUGGGACUGAGAUACGGCCCAGACUCCUACGGGAGGCAGCAGUGGGGAAUAUUGCACAAUGGGCGGAAGCCUGAUGCAGCAACGCCGCGUGCGGGAGACGGCCUUCGGGUUGUAAACCGCUUUCGCCUGUGACGAAGCGUGAGUGACGGUAAUGGGUAAAGAAGCACCGGCUAACUACGUG
rnacentral:rRNA from 1 species